CCGCCAUCGUGAGGGAGCUCCUUCGAACCAGGUCAGGUGGGGAACCAAGCAGCCUUAAGAUUGAACUCCUUGCGCGGUGGUUUUAU
rnacentral:SRP_RNA from 1 species